rnacentral:rRNA from 2 species
GGACAGAUGGGAGCUUGCUCCCUGAUGUUAGCGGCGGACGGGUGAGUAUCACGUGGGUAACCUGCCUGUAAGACUGGGAUAACUCCGGGAAACCGGGGCUAAUACCGGAUGGUUGUUUGAACCGCAUGGUUCAAACAUAAAAGGUGGCUUCGGCUACCACUUACAGAUGGACCCGCGGCGCAUUAGCUAGUUGGUGAGGUAACGGCUCACCAAGGCAACGAUGCGUAGCCGACCUGAGAGGGUGAUCGGCCACACUGGGACUGAGACACGGCCCAGACUCCUACGGGAGGCAGCAGUAGGGAAUCUUCCGCAAUGGACGAAAGUCUGACGGAGCAACGCCGCGUGAGUGAUGAAGGUUUUCGGAUCGUAAAGCUCUGUUGUUAGGGAAGAACAAGUACCGUUCGAAUAGGGCGGUACCUUGACGGUACCUAACCAGAAAGCCACGGCUAACUACGUGCCAGCACCCGCGGUAAUACGUAGGUGGCAAGCGUUGUCCGGAAUUAUUGGGCGUAAAGGGCUCGCAGGCGGUUUCUUAAGUCUGAUGUGAAAGCCCCCGGCUCAACCGGGGAGGGUCAUUGGAAACUGGGGAACUUGAGUGCAGAAGAGGAGAGUGGAAUUCCACGUGUAGCGGGUGAAAAUGCGUAGAGAUGUGGAGGAACACCAAGUGGCGAAGGCGACUCUCUGGUCUGUAACUGACGCUGAGGAGCGAAAGCGUGGGGGAGCGAACAGGAUUAGAUACCCUGGUAGUCCACGCCGUAAACGAUGAGUGCUAAGUGUUAGGGGUUUCCGCCCUUUAAUGCUGCAGCUAACGCAUUAAGCACUCCGCCUGGGGAGUACCGUCGCAAGACUUGAAACUCAAAGGUAUUGACCGGGGGCCCGCACAAGCGGAUGGAGCAAUGUGGUUUUAAUUCAAGCAACACGAGCAGUGACAGCUUAACAAGGUCUUGGACAUCCUCUGACAAUCCUAGAAAAU